rnacentral:rRNA from 1 species
CCUCAAAUCAGGUAGGACUACCCGCUGAACUUAAGCAUAUCAAUAAGCGGAGGAAAAGAAACUAACAAGGAUUCCCCUAGUAACUGCGAGUGAAGCGGGAAAAGCUCAAAUUUAAAAUCUGGUAGUCUUCGACUAUCCGAGUUGUAAUCUAGAGAAGCGUCAUCCGUGCUGGACCGUGUACAAGUCUCCUGGAAUGGAGCGUCACAGAGGGUGAGAAUCCCGUCUUUGACACGGACUGCCAGGACAUUGUGAUGCGCUCUCAAAGAGUCGAGUUGUUUGGGAAUGCAGCUCUAAAUGGGUGGUAAAUUCCAUCUAAAGCUAAAUAUUGGCGAGAGACCGAUAGCGAACAAGUACCGUGAGGGAAAGAUGAAAAGAACUUUGGAAAGAGAGUUAAACAGUACGUGAAAUUGUUGAAAGGGAAACGCUUGAAGUCAGUCGCAUUGGCCAGGGAUCAGCCUUGCUUUUUUUUGCUUGGUGCACUUCUUGGCUAAUGGGUCAGCAUCAAUUUUGACCAAUGGAAAAAGAUCAAGGGAAUGUGGCAUCUUCGGAUGUGUUAUAGCCUCUGGUCACAUACAUUGGUCGGGAUUGAGGAAAUCAGUAUGCCGCAAGGCCGGGUUUUUUAACCACGUUCGUGCUUAGGAUGCUGGCAUA